GUAAAGCGUGCGCAGGCGGAUUGUUAAGCAAGAUGUGAAAUCCCCGGGCUUAACCUGGGAAUGGCAUUUUGAACUGGCAGUCUAGAGUGCGUCAGAGGGGGGUGGAAUUCCACGUGUAGCAGUGAAAUGCGUAGAGAUGUGGAGGAACACCGAUGGCGAAGGCAGCCCCCUGGGAUGACACUGACGCUCAUGUACGAAAGCGUGGGUAGCAAACAGGAUUAGAUACCCUGGUAGUCCACGCCCUAAACGAUGUCAACUGGUUGUUGGGGGAGUGAAAUCCCUUAGUAACGAAGCUAACGCGUGAAGUUGACCGCCUGGGGAGUACGGUCGCAAGAUUAAAACUCAAAGGAAUUGACGGGGACCCGCACAAGCGGUGGAUGAUGUGGAUUAAUUCGAUGCAACGCGAAAAACCUUACCUACCCUUGACAUGUCCGGAAUCCUGCAGAGAUGCGGGAGUGCCCGAAAGGGAAUCGGAACACAGGUGCUGCAUGGCUGUCGUCAGCUCGUGUCGUGAGAUGUUGGGUUAAGUCCCGCAACGAGCGCAACCCUUAUCAUUAGUUGCUACGCAAGGGCACUCUAAUGAGACUGCCGGUGACAAACCGGAGGAAGGUGGGGAUGACGUCAAGUCCUCAUGGCCCUUAUGGGUAGGGCUUCACACGUCAUACAAUGGUCGGUACAGAGGGUUGCCAAGCCGCGAGGUGGAGCCAAUCCCAGAAAGCCGAUCGUAGUCCGGAUUGUUCUCUGCAACUCGAGAGCAUGAAGUCGGAAUCGCUAGUAAUCGCGGAUCAGCAUGUCGCGGUGAAUACGUUCCCGGGUCUUGUACACACCGCCCGUCACACCAUGGGAGUGGAAUCUGCCAGAAGUAGGUAGCCUAACCGCAAGGAGGGCGCUUACCACGGUGGGUUUCAUGACUGGGGUGAAGUCGUAACAAGGGUAAC
rnacentral:rRNA from 1 species